rnacentral:rRNA from 1 species
UACGGGGGGAGCAAGCGUUGUUCGGAUUUACUGGGCGUAAAGGGCGCGUAGGCGGCCAGCGCAAGUCAGUUGUGAAAUCUCCGGGCUUAACUCGGAACGGUCAACUGAUACUGCGCGGCUAGAGUGCAGAAGGGGCAACUGGAAUUCUCGGUGUAGCGGUGAAAUGCGUAGAUAUCGAGAGGAACACCGGUGGCGAAGGCGGCAUCCUGGACCAACACUGACGCUGAGGAGCGAAAGCCAGGGGAGCAAACGGG